GACGAACGCUGGCGGCGUGGCCUAAUACAUGCAAGUCGAACGAAGCGUCUUAAAGGAAGUUUUCGGGAUGGAAUUUGGGAUGACUGAGUGGCGGACGGGUGAGUAACGCGUGGAUAACCUGCCUCAUACAGGGGGAUAACAGCUAGAAAUGGCUGCUAAUACCGCAUAAGCGCACAGUGCCGCAUGGCAGUGUGUGAAAAACUCCGGUGGUAUGAGAUGAACCCGCGUCUGAUUAGGUAGUUGGUGAGGUAACGGCCCACCAAGCCGACGAUCAGUAGCCGGCCUGAGAGGGUGAACGGCCACAUUGGGACUGAGACACGGCCCAA
rnacentral:rRNA from 1 species